ACAUACAAUAAAAGUCAGUGAUUGCGGGCAUAAGUUUUCACCAACUCUUCCCACAAAAAAAAAAACACGUCGAUAUCUUAAAUACUUGUUUGAUACUAGUGCCUUCUCGCUGUUAAUCUCAGCUCGUUUUUUUUUUCUCAUUAGUCGAUCUACUAGCCCGCAACCAAAUGUUACCGAGACGGAGUUUUUUUUUCUAGCUUUUUCAGAAACGCAAAUCCGCCGCAUUUUCACUUAUACUUCAAAUUUACAUUUGUUGAUUUUACACACAAGUGUAAACUAAGCGUAGGCAAGGACUCAAGAAAUUCAGUUCACAAGUAAACAUAUUUUCCAUAUUGAUACAAGAUGAUGUGCAGUUCCUUUUUCUAAAAGUUCAUCACAGAUCGCCCACAAUUAAACGCACUACGUAUUUUGGCGGAGAAGCAAUCCACUGGUGACGUUUUCAUUCUCAGAGAAGAAAAUGGAUGAAAAUUUCAAACAUGAGCGAAAUGAAGGAAAGGCCACUGAAAAAUCUGUCUAUUGGAACACAACAUUUUUACUGGUGUAGUCUAGGGAAUAAAAAUUAGCUUGCAGACCAUUUAAUUGAAACCACCCUUUCCACGGAUUUUUUCAAAGCUUCAACACAUAAAAAGACAAAUCAAGAUGAUCUUUACAAGGAAAAGCUUUUUUGUAACCUAUUUAAACACAAAUAAAUUAACCAACGUGAAACGUAACU